rnacentral:rRNA from 1 species
UACGUAGGGUGCAAGCGUUAAUCGGAAUUACUGGGCGUAAAGCGUGCGCAGGCGGUUUUGUAAGUCUGUCGUGAAAUCCCCGGGCUCAACCUGGGAAUUGCGAUGGAGACUGCAAGGCUAGAAUCUGGCAGAGGGGGGUAGAAUUCCACGUGUAGCAGUGAAAUGCGUAGAGAUGUGGGAGGAACACCGAUGGCGAAGGCAGCCCCCUGGGUCAAGAUUGACGCUCAUGCACGAAAGCGUGGGGAGCAAACAGGAUUAGAAACCCCAGUGAGAU